ACGCUCGACACCUACGGGAGACAGCGGUGGGGAAUAUUGCACAAUGGGGGAAACCCUGAUGCAGCGACGCCGCGUGAGCGAAGAAGUAUUUCGGUAUGUAAAGCUCUAUCAGCAGGGAAGAAACUGACGGUACCUGACUAAGAAGCACCGGCUAAAUACGUGCUAGCAGCCGCGGUAAUCUGAGCGGGCUGGCAAGGC
rnacentral:rRNA from 1 species